rnacentral:rRNA from 1 species
CGUCUGAUUAGCUAGUUGGUGGGGUAAAGGCCUACCAAGGCGACGAUCAGUAGCCGGCCUGAGAGGGUGAACGGCCACACUGGGACUGAGACACGGCCCAGACUCCUACGGGAGGCAGCAGUGGGGAAUCUUCCGCAAUGGACGAAAGUCUGACGGAGCAACGCCGCGUGUAUGAUGAAGGUCUUCGGAUUGUAAAGUACUGUCUUUGGGGAAGAACGGUAGAAAUGAGAAUAUUGAGUUCACAUGACGGUACCCAAGGAGGAA